GUCCUUUUUUUGUUCUUGCUUCCACAGUGUUGUUUCUGCUUCCUUUUUUCUUUUUAGGUUUAUUUCAAUCUGAUGGGGCUUGGGGAGACAGCAGACACUGAAUGUCCUUUAUCAAUUUUGAAGUACAGAUCAAAACGAAGAAGUACAAAUUCUGCAUGCAUUUUGGAUUACCAAAUACAAACAUGCCGUUUUGACAGAAAGCAGGUCCUAUUGUGGCUUGAUUUAGAGAAGAAGAUUGCCACUGGUGAUGUCUAUGCGAUGGUUAGUCUUGAUUGGCAGCUUAACUGGGCAGAGGCCUAGGAAUCACUAGCGCAGACUCCGGGUACGUUGCUGAGCAGGUUUCCAGGGAUGCCGGGCAUGGGGCUGAGGGGAACCCGUCCUGAAUGUGGGUGGCAGUCCAGUCGGCUGGACCUUCGACAGAACUAAGAUGGGAGGAGGAGGAAGCCGGCGCAGGCUCUCUCUCUCCUUCUAAUUUCCUCUGCCAGGCCAUUCCAGGGUGCUCUGCCACACCGUGGGCCUGGGAACGGGGAACAGCCUGCUGGGGACUGAAAUCCCUGUAACUCUGAGCCGAGAUAAACCUUUCCCUACAUGAUGAUUCCUCUCUGGUGCUUUGCCACAGCCCAUUGCAGCAGGCCUGCCUCUUGUGGGCGCCUAAAUUUGCCUCAGGCAGCACUGUCCCAGAGCCACUAUUUUGACACCAACGACGACUACGCAGCAGUGGUCCAGCCUUCUCCUCCCACGAGCAGAGUGGAAUCCAGGCUCCCCCUGUGUAGCCGGCAGCUUCUCCAGUCCCAGCUCAGCUUGGAGACCGAGGGCAGCCUGACUGCUCUGCAUCAGAGGCCCCCACGUGUAUGUGGAGAAGCCCAAAACCCCAUAAUCCGGACCACUGCCAGCCCUGGGCUGCAGACAGGACCGCGGCUGCUUCCAGGGCUCCUCUGAGUCAGGACAAAGGAGACCUGCACAGAGGUUCUGCUGCCUCAGGCACCUCCCUGCCAGCCCUGCAGCUGCUUUGUGUCAUCUGGUGGGUCUGGUG
rnacentral:lncRNA from 1 species